CCUACGGGUGGCUGCAGUGGGGAAUAUUGCACAAUGGGCGCAAGCCUGAUGCAGCCAUGCCGCGUGUGUGAAGAAGGCCUUCGGGUUGUAAAGCACUUUCAGCGGGGAGGAAGGCGUUAAGGUUAAUAACCUUGGCGAUUGACGUUACCCGCAGAAGAAGCACCGGCUAACUCCGUGCCAGCAGCCGCGGUAAUACGGAGGGUGCAAGCGUUAAUCGGAAUUACUGGGCGUAAAGCGCACGCAGGCGGUCUGUCAAGUCGGAUGUGAAAUCCCCGGGCUCAACCUGGGAACUGCAUUCGAAACUGGCAGGCUAGAGUCUUGUAGAGGGGGGUAGAAUUCCAGGUGUAGCGGUGAAAUGCGUAGAGAUCUAGAGGAAUACCGGUGGCGAAGGCGGCCCCCUGGACAAAGACUGACGCUCAGGUGCGAAAGCGUGGGGAGCAAACAGGAUUAGAUACCCCUGUAGUC
rnacentral:rRNA from 1 species